UCCAGUCUCUUGUUCCUCUAAUAAGCUGCCUCGCGGUGUUGUUCCAUCGUCACUGUUGCUAGAAGAAGCAGUCGAAGUGGCUGCCAUGAAUUAAAAGGAAAGGGAGUUGUUACAAUAGGUUUAUGCGAACUUGGCUAAUUGAGGUAGGGGAUUGUUUUAAAGUUAAAAUAUUUUGAGAUUGAGUACCUGAUGAGUUUAGUGGAUUAAUGCAAGUGAAUUAAUUUCUGUGUUUAAAAUGAUUUUCUGCUGUGAUUAGAGUUGUUAUGGUUGUUGCAUAAGCGGUUUGGAGCUGAGGCUGUAGCUGCCACUGAUUACGGGCCGAAAAGAAAGGGUCUCUUGAUGCGUUUGGUUUAUGAGUUUCGAUUAUUCGAGGAACGGAUGAAGAAGCAUUAAGAAGAGUUAUAUUGCG